rnacentral:ncRNA from 1 species
AUUCAUGAGCGGUAAGACCGUUACAGAUUUCCAAGGUGUUCCCUCCCAUCGGUAGGCCACAGCUUUGGUGAAACAAAUCCGUAGGGCACGCUCUUUUU